UGCGGAGUGGUGUAAUGGUAACACGCCUGUCUUUGGAACAGGAAACUCUUGGUUCGAUCCCAAGCUCCGCAG
rnacentral:tRNA from 1 species